rnacentral:tRNA from 1 species
GGCGGGGUUCCCGAGCGGCCAAAGGGAGCAGACUGUAAAUCUGCCGUCAUCGACUUCGAAGGUUCGAAUCCUUCCCCC